UACGUAGGGGGCAAGCGUUGUCCGGAUUAACUGGGCGUAAAGGGUGCGUAGGCGGUUUGGUAAGUCAAAUGUGGAAGCCCGCAGCUCAACUGCGGAACUGCAUUUGAUACUGCUAGACUCGAGUUCGAGAGAGGCAAGUGGAAUUCCUAGUGUAGCGGUGGAAUGCGUAGAUAUUAGGAGGAACACCAGUGGCGAAGGCGGCUUGCUGGAACGACACUGACGCUGAGGCACGAAAGCGUGGGGAGCAAAC
rnacentral:rRNA from 1 species